rnacentral:rRNA from 1 species
AGAGUUUGAUCCUGGCUCAGGAUGAACGCUGGCGGCGUGCCUAAUACAUGCAAGUCGAGCGAACGGAGAGAAGCUUGCUUCUCAAAGUUAGCGGCGGACGGGUGAGUAACACGUGGGCAACCUACCUUGUAGAUGGGGAUAACAUCGAGAAAUCGGUGCUAAUACCGAAUAACAAUAUUCUUCGCAUGAAGGAAAUUUGA